rnacentral:rRNA from 1 species
GAUGAACGCUAGCGGCAGGCUUAAUACAUGCAAGUCGAACGGUAACUGUUGUAGCAAUACGAUAGCAAGAGUGACGUACGGGUGCGUAACACGUAUGCAACCUACCCUUUACAGGAGGAUAGCUCGGGGAAACUCGAAUUAACCCUCCAUAACAUCACAUAAUGGCAUCAUUGAGUGAUUAAAACUGAGGUGGUUGAGGAUGAGCAUGCGCAUGAUUAGUUAGUUGGCGGGGUAACGGCCCACCAAGACGAUGAUCAUUAGGGGAACUGAGAGGUUGAUCCCCCACACUGGCACUGAGAUACGGGCCAGACUCCUACGGGAGGCAGCAGUAGGGAAUAUUGGACAAUGGGUGCGAGCCUGAUCCAGCCAUGCCGCGUGCAGGAAGACGGCCUUCUGGGUUGUAAACUGCUUUUGCCAGGGGAUAAAACGUCCAUGCGUGGAUAAUUGAAGGUACCUGGUGAAUAAGCCACGGCUAACUACGUGCCAGCCGCCGCAGUAACAC